UACAGAGGGUGCGAGCGUUGUCCGGAAUCACUGGGCGUAAAGGGCGCGUAGGUGGCCCGACAAGUCACUGGUGAAAGCUCGACGCUCAACGUCGAGUCGGCCAGUGAUACUGUUGGGCUGGAGCACUGUAGAGGCUCAUGGAAUUCCGGGUGUAGCGGUGGAAUGCGUAGAGAUCCGGAAGAACACCGAUGGCGAAGGCAGCCCCCUGGGCCAAUACUGACGCUCAGGCACGAAAGGCGUGGGGAGCAAACGAGG
rnacentral:rRNA from 1 species